UACGAAGGGUGCAAGCGUUACUCGGAAUCACUGGGCGUAAAGCGUGCGUAGGCGGUUGGUUAAGUCUGCUGUGAAAGCCCUGGGCUCAACCUGGGAACUGCAGUGGAUACUGGCUAGCUAGAGUGUGAUAGAGGAUGGUGGAAUUCCCGGUGUAGCGGUGAAAUGCGUAGAGAUCGGGAGGAACACCAGUGGCGAAGGCGGCCAUCUGGACGGAUACUGACGCUGAGACGCGAAAGCGUGGGUAGCAAACAGG
rnacentral:rRNA from 1 species